rnacentral:rRNA from 1 species
GAUGAACGCUGGCGGCGUGCCUAAUACAUGCAAGUCGAACGGAAAGGCCCUGCGCUUGUGCGUCGCUCGUGUGCCGAACACGUGAGUAUCACGCGAGUAACCCGUCCCUGUCUUUCUGAGAUCUUUAGGGAACUGGGGCGCUAACCCGGUAGGAUCUCUUGCUGCAUGUGGGGCGUUGGUAAGAGUCGGCGGUUGGGGAUGGACUCGCGGCUUAUCAGCUUGUUGGUGGGGUAGUGGCGUACCAAGGCUUUGACGGGUAGCCGGCCUGAGAGGGUGACCGGCCACAUUGGGACUGAGAUACGGCCCAGACUCCUACGGGAGGCAGCAGUGGGGAAUAUUGCACAAUGGGCGGAAGCCUGAUGCAGCAACGCCGCGUGCGGGAUGACGGCCUUCGGGUUGUAAACCGCUUUCGCCUGUGACGAAGCGUGAGUGACGGUAAUGGGUAAAGAAGCACCGGCUAACUACGUG